GAUGAACGCUGGCGGCAUGCCUAACACAUGCAAGUCGAUCGGUAAGGCUCUUCGGAGUACACGAGAGGCGGACGGCUGAGUAACGCGUAGGAACACACCCUGCAGUGAGGGAUAAGACACCGAAAGGUGUUCUAAUACCGCAUACGGUCUUCGGAUUAAAGCAUUUAUGCGCUGAAGGAGUGGCCUGCGUCAUAUUAGAUAGUUGGUGAGGUAAUGGCUCACCAAGUCGAUGAUGUGUAGCUGGUCUGAGAGGAUGAUCAGCCAGACUGGAACUGAGACAGGACCAAGACUCCUAGGGGAGGCAGCAGGGAGGAAUAUUACACAAGGAGCAAGGGCUUGAGGGAGAAAUGCCGCGUGAAGGAUGAAGGCCCUGGGGUUGAAAACUGUUUUUAUAAGAGAAGAUAAGGAGGGAAAUUUAUAAAAAGGGGACGGCUAACUCCGUG
rnacentral:rRNA from 1 species